UUUAGAGUAAAGCUACAGAGAAGCCACUGUAGCAGUGCACACAAUGCACUCACUACGUGGCUUCUUCCUAAAAUUGUUCUUUUUAAAAAAAAAAAACGUCGUUUUGACCUCGGUUCAUUUUCUCUUUCCCCAUUUGAAAUUUCCCCAGCAAAAUACAUCCUCCCUCGCCCUCGUCUCGUCACCUUCCUCUGCCCAGAGCCACCCGGCGACACCGUCUCUCUAUUCAGCACCACCCCUGAAGCUCAUUCGUCUGCCCAGCGCCACCCUUCCCUGCAAACUCAUUCCACACAAACCAGGCUCUUCGGUACUUUCGCGAACACGAAGAAAGAAAUGGAUAUGAGAAUGGUUCUCCUGUCUCACCCUCAACUCUCUCUAACUCUUUGCCCUCGAUUUCUUCGCCUCUACUUUACUUCAAUACCCUAAUCUCCCUUUAUCCGAGUUUCUUAUCUUCGUUGUUCGAUCCCCAAUUUUGAACUGCAAUUUCAGGUAUAGCGCUUUCUCGAUUUCUCUCUCUAACAUAUUUAAAUCCUUUAUUUUAAAUCGUAUUUGAUACUCCAACUCCAUCUCCGUUUUCAAGUUCUCAUUUUCCCUUCUUUUCUUGGCUCCCAAACACGGGUAGUUUUUCAUUAAAACUUCCUGUUAUUUUUCUGGAGAUUCAUUGGUCUCUCUAGUAUAUUUAUGCAUAACAACCUCUUUAAAUGAUUUGAGUUAUGUACUGUUGAUUUUCUUUGCUUUUGUAUUUUACCGUUUGAUACUUCAGUUGAGUGCUGCAUAAUUUGGCGCUCUUCAAUAAUGAUAGCUUGGGGAUUUUCAUCCUUUUGGUUUUUUAUUUUUAUAUUCGUUGAGAUAAUAUGGUAUUCUUUCCUUCUUGUUUAUCACAAUGCUUACGAAAGAAAUGAGUUUAAUUUGUUUUGUUUUUUUUGUGCUUUUAAUCUACCAUGUUAUCAUAGAAUCCCUGUCUGUGUAUUUUCUACUCACUGGCAUAGAUUUAGGACACCAGCUGAGACAUUAUUUUCCAUAUGGUAGUGGGAAAUGUUUAUAAAUGCCUGGAAAUGUGAGAUGAUCAAGUGGUUUAAAGAGCCAAUUUAAGGGUUUAAAGACUCUUCUAUUAAUUUGUAAGCAAUAUGGGGCUAAUGCGUGCUCUUUGGGUGUUGAUGGGUUAAUAUAAACUGGCUAGUGCAUGGGUGUUGUGGGCGAGUUCUUUGAAAUUUUUUUCAAUACAAUUCGAGUUCUUGCAUGCAAAAGCUGUGAAUGUUCCAUGUACUUGUGCAUCUAGGAAGCUAAACGCAUCUGACAAUUUAUCAUGGCAUUCACAAUAUUUGAGGUGCUUAUAAUACUUUCAGCCUGUUUUAUUGAUUAGCUCUUUGAAAUUGGAGCUGGGGUCUGUGGCAUGAUGAUGGUUGGUGCUUGAUUGACUUGCCUGGAUGUUGUUGCUUGGUUGGGUUUCUCUGGGCAAUGGGAGCCGUCUAUAGAAACAACAGGAUGAUAGAAGUAGUGGCCCUGUUCAGCUUUCUAAGGUUCUCAUCAGACUGUAAUACUUGUGUUUGCUGUCACAAGCUAACAUGCAAAUGUUAGCUUAAGAAGUGCAUGACACAAAUUCAUUAGCGACUUCCAUAGGAAGUGAAUCACAAUACAAAGAGGCCCCUACUGAUAUGCAUGGUGGACACAGAAUAGAAGGGACUCAACCUAGUACAAACAAAUUGUGAUCUUUUGUGUAGUGUAUGAACAAGUGAACAAGUUCUGAUGCGUGUAAUUCUUUGUGAUGGAAUGCUCUCUUGUAAUAAGUAUUCUGACACAAUGUUAUUUGUGAUGGAAUCUUAUCUUGUAAUAAGUAUUCGAUACAAUAUUAUUUGUGAUGAAAUGCUUUCUUGUGAUCCUUUCGUGUAAUGCUGAUGUGUAAUUUUUUUU